CAUCACACUGAAUCGUGCCCAUCUGCUGCUCUUCCACUGAUCACCCACGUUGCUGCUGCUAGGAGCCUCUCAGCAAUGGGUUCCCUGAGCACAGUUUCCAGGGAUGCUUGCUGCAUGCUUCUGCAGUUGUACAGCCCAGCUAACGGGCACAUAUAGCCUGUGGAAUUCCCUAACUCAAGCAAAUCAGAGAGCUUGUGAUGGUGGGGAGAAGGGAUGGGAGCAAUCAGUGCUGCUGUUCUGCCAAGAGACACCUGCUAUGAAAUUGCACAGCCAUACCGAUAUCAAGAGCUGGCAGACGUAUAGAUACAGGCUAUACUACCAGGCAGAGAACUUUUACCAGUCCUUGCCUUGUGUCUACAGAUGCAUUAGUGAGCUGGGAGAUGGAAUAAAGAACGUGACUACUUGUGAUAGCACCAA